GCAGCUUUCUGCUCGGCCAGCCUGCUGCCUUUGCUCCCGGUCCUCCAGGUGACAGCAGCGGCCCUGGCCCGGGAGGGAAGAGGGAAAAGCGUGUCCUGGCCGGCGCAUCCUCGGUCCCAGCGGACAUCCCUCCCCGAGGCCACAUCCGUGUGGGUGAGUGCGCGCUGCGGCCCCAGGACCACUGCAGCCGGGGGUGGCUCACGCACCUGCCCCAGGACAAAUUCAGGGCAGACGUAGCUACAGAGGAAGGGGCCCAAGCAGGCCGUCCCCAUGCAAGGCCAGACGCCGCAAGCCAGGUCGCAUUU